GGCCACCUAAGGGACGAAGCAGUGAGGAAUAUGGGUCAAUGGGCGGACGACUGAACCAGCCAAGUCGCGUGAGGGAAGACUGCCCUAUGGGUUGUAAACCUCUUUUGUCAGGGAGCAACGCCGGCUACGUGUAGCCGGACUGAGAGUACCUGAAGAAAAAGCAUCGGCUAACUCCGUGCCAGCAGCCGCAGUAAUACGGAGGAUGCGAGCGUUAUCCGGAUUUAUUGGGUUUAAAGGGUGCGUAGGCGGAAUGCCAAGUCAGCGGUAAAAUCGCGGGGCUCAACCUCGCUCCGCCGUUGAAACUG
rnacentral:rRNA from 1 species